rnacentral:rRNA from 1 species
UGGGGAAUUUUGGACAAUGGGCGAAAGCCUGAUCCAGCAAUGCCGCGUGUGUGAAGAAGGCCUUCGGGUUGUAAAGCACUUUUGUCCGGAAAGAAAUCCUUGGCUCUAAUACAGUCGGGGGAUGACGGUACCGGAAGAAUAAGCACCGGCUAACUACGUGCCAGCAGCCGCGGUAAUACGUAGGGUGCAAGCGUUAAUCGGAAUUACUGGGCGUAAAGCGUGCGCAGGCGGUUUGCUAAGACCGAUGUGAAAUCCCCGGGCUCAACCUGGGAACUGCAUUGGUGACUGGCAGGCUAGAGUAUGGCAGAGGGGGGUAGAAUUCCACGUGUAGCAGUGAAAUGCGUAGAGAUGUGGAGGAAUACCGAUGGCGAAGGCAGCCCCCUGGGCCAAUACUGACGCUCAUGCACGAAAGCGUGGGGAGCAAACAGGAUUAGAUACCCUGGUAGUCCACGCCCUAAAACGAUGUCAACUAGUUGUUGGGGGAUUCAUUUCCUUAGUAACGUAGCUAACGCGUGAAGUUGACCGCCUGGGGAGUACGGUCGCAAGAUUAAAACUUAAAGGAAUUGAC